UACGAAGGGGGCUAGCGUUGCUCGGAAUUACUGGGCGUAAAGCGCACGUAGGCGGCUCUUUAAGUCGGGGGUGAAAUCCUGGAGCUCAACUCCAGAACUGCCUUCGAUACUGAAGAGCUCGAGUCCGGGAGAGGUGAGUGGAACUGCGAGUGUAGAGGUGAAAUUCGUAGAUAUUCGGAAGAACACCAGUGGCGAAGGCGGCUCACUGGACUGGUAUUGACGCUGAGGUGCGAAAGCGUGGGGAGCAAACAGG
rnacentral:rRNA from 1 species